CGGGAAAGCAAAGCUCACUGCCAUAGGAAAUGUCUGUUCUCUAAAUAUGCCUGUCAACACACCCCUGGGACUUGUGUGUUUUACAAGAUACUUAUCAGGGUGUGUGGCUCCAGCUGCCAGUUGUUUGUGUGCUCUUGAAACGGAUUCAUCUGCGAACGGUGUCAAACGAGCGCAGCCACUGCGGGGAUCUGCUGUUCGCAUCCACUUCCGCCUACGCCAGUGCGCUGAAGACGGACGCGUGUGCAACCACUUGAGGGGUGUUGGAGCCAAAGACACGGCAAAGUAGAAGAAUGGAUUUUCCCCAAUACUGAAAAAUGUGGCAGCAGUAGGAGACAACAUCAAACUGUCAUGUGUCACAGGGCAAGAAGGCACCCUUCCAUACCCUCUUCUUCUUCCUUAAUUAUG
rnacentral:lncRNA from 1 species